GUAGGGAAUCUUCCACAAUGGGUGAAAACCUGAUGGAGCAAUACCGCGUGAGUGAAGAAGGUCUUCGGAUCGUAAAGCUCUGUUGUUAGAGAAGAAUAAGUCGGGUAGUAACUGCCCCGACCUUGACGGUAUCUAACCAGAAAGUCACGGCUAACUACGUGCCAGCAGCCGCGGUAAUACGUAGGUGACAAGCGUUGUCCGGAUUUAUUGGGCGUAAAGCGAGCGCAGGCGGUCUUUUAAGUCUGAUGUGAAAGCCCACGGCUCAACCGUGGAAGGUCAUUGGAAACUGGAAGACUUGAAUGCAGAAGAGGAAAGUGGAAUUCCAUGUGUAGCGGUGAAAUGCGUAGAUAUAUGGAGGAACACCAGUGGCGAAGGCGACUUUCUGGUCUGUAAUUGACGCUGAGGCUCGAAAGCGUGGGGAGCGAACAGGAUUAGAAACCCUAGUAGUCC
rnacentral:rRNA from 1 species